GAUGAACGCUAGCGAUAGGCUUAACACAUGCAAGUCGAGGGGUAACAUGGGAGUAGCUUGCUACUUCUGAUGACGACCGGCGGAUGGGUGAGUAACACGUACCCAACCUGCCGUCUACUCUUGGACAGCCUUCUGAAAGGAAGAUUAAUACAAGAUGGCAUCAUGAGUUCACAUGUUCACAUGAUUAAAGGUAUUCCGGUAGACGAUGGGGAUGCGUUCCAUUAGAUAGUAGGCGGGGUAACGGCCCACCUAGUCUUCGAUGGAUAGGGGUUCUGAGAGGAAGGUCCCCCACAUUGGAACUGAGACACGGUCCAA
rnacentral:rRNA from 1 species